AGUGAACGCUGGCGGCAGGCUUAACACAUGCAAGUCGAACGCACCGCAAGGUGAGUGGCAGACGGGUGAGUAACGCGUGGGAACCUUCCCUUUGGUUCAGGAUAGCUCCGGGAAACUGGAAUUAAUACUGGAUAAGAUCUACGGAUGAAAGAUUUAUCGCCGCGGGAUGGGCCCGCGUAAGAUUAGCUAGUUGGUGAGGUAAUGGCUCACCAAGGCAAUGAUCUUUAGCUGGUCUGAGAGGAUGAUCAGCCACACUGGAACUGAGACACGGUCCAGACUCCUACGGGAGGCAGCAGUGAGGAAUAUUGGACAAUGGGCGCAAGCCUGAUCCAGCCAUGCCGCGUGAGUGAUGAAGGCCUUAGGGUUGUAAAACUCUUUUAGUAGGGAAAAUAAUGAUGGUACCUACAGAAAAAGCUCCGGCUAACUUCGUGCCAGCCGCCGCCGUAA
rnacentral:rRNA from 1 species